UGGGGAAUAUUGCACAAUGGGCGAAAGCCUGAUGCAGCGACGCCGCGUGAGGGAUGACGGCCUUCGGGUUGUAAACCUCUUUCAGUAGGGACGAAGCGCAAGUGACGGUACCUGCAGAAGAAGCACCGGCUAACUACGUGCCAGCAGCCGCGGUAAUACGUAGGGUGCGAGCGUUGUCCGGAAUUACUGGGCGUAAAGAGCUCGUAGGCGGUUUGUCACGUCGUCUGUGAAAUCCUAGGGCUUAACCCUGGACGUGCAGGCGAUACGGGCUGACUUGAGUACUACAGGGGCGACUGGAAUUUCUGGUGUAGCGGUGGAAUGCACAGAUAUCAGGAAGAACACCGAUGGCGAAGGCAGGUCUCUGGGUAGUAACUGACGCUGAGGAGCGAAAGCAUGGGUAGCGAACAGG
rnacentral:rRNA from 1 species